rnacentral:piRNA from 1 species
UAACUGCAAACGUUCGUUCCUGCAGUGCCU